rnacentral:rRNA from 1 species
UACGGAGGGUGCGAGCGUUGCUCGGAAUCACUGGGCGUAAAGCGUACGCAGGCGGCUCGCUAAGUCGGGUGUGAAAGCCCGGGGCUCAACCCCGGAAAUGCGCCCGAUACUGGCGAGCUUGAGUACGGGAGAGGGAUAGCGGAAUUCCUGGUGUAGAGGUGAAAUUCGUAGAUAUCAGGAGGAACACCAGUGGCGAAAGCGGCUUCCUGGCCCGAUACUGACGCUCAUGUACGAAAGCGUGGGGAGCAAACAGG